AGCAGCCGCGGUAAUCCCAGCUCCAAUAGCGUAUAUUAAAGUUGUUGCAGUUAAAAAGCUCGUAGUUGAAUUUCGGGGUCAGUAGAUUGGUCAUGCCUCCGGUAUGUACUGGUCUUACUGGCUCCUCCUUCCUGAUGAACCGUAAUGCCAUUAAUUUGGUGUUGCGGGGAGACUGGACUGUUACUUUGAAAAAUUAGAGUGUUUAAAGCAGGCUAACGCUUGAAUACAUUAGCAUGGAAUAAUGAAAUAGGACGUUCGAUCUUAUUUUGUUGGUUUCUAAGAUUGACGUAAUGAUUAAUAGGGAUAGUUGGGGGCAUUAGUAUUCAAUUGUCAGAGGUGAAAUUCUUGGAUUUAUUGAAGACUAACUACUGCGAAAGCAUUUGCCAAGGAUGUUUUCAUUAAUCAAGAACGAAAGUUAGGGGAUCGAAGACGAUCAGAUACCGUCGUAGUCUUAACCAUAAACUAUGCCGACUAGGGAUCGGAUGAUGUUAAUUUUUAAUGACUCAUUCGGCGCCUUACG
rnacentral:rRNA from 1 species